rnacentral:rRNA from 1 species
GACGAACGCUGGCGGCGUGCUUAACACAUGCAAGUCGAACGGAAAGGCCCUGCUUUUGUGGGGUGCUCGAGUGGCGAACGGGUGAGUAACACGUGAGUAACCUGCCCUUGACUUUGGGAUAACUUCAGGAAACUGGGGCUAAUACCGGAUAGGAGCUCCUGCUGCAUGGUGGGGGUUGGAAAGUUUCGGCGGUUGGGGAUGGACUCGCGGCUUAUCAGCUUGUUGGUGGGGUAGUGGCUUACCAAGGCUUUGACGGGUAGCCGGCCUGAGAGGGUGACCGGCCUCAUUGGGACUGAGAUACGGCCCAGACCGCUACGGGAGGCAGCAGGGGUGAAUAUUGCACAGUGGGCGGAAGCCUGAUGCAGCAACGCCGCGUGCGGGAUGACGGCCUUCGGGUUGUAAACCGCUUUCGCCUGUGACGAAGCGUGAGUGACGGUAAUGGGUAAAGAAGCACCGGCUAACUACGUG